AUUGAACGCUGGCGGCAGGCCUAACACAUGCAAGUCGAGCGGUAGAGAGAAGCUUGCUUCUCUUGAGAGCGGCGGCCGGGUGAGUAAUGCCUAGGAAUCUGCAUGGUAGUGGGGGAUAACGUUCGAAAACGGAAGCUAAUACCGCAUACGUCCUACGAGAGACAGCGGGGGACCUUCGGGCCUUGCGCUAUCAGGUGAGCCUAGGUCGGAAUCGCUAGUUGGUGGGGUAAUGGCUCAGCAAGGCUACGAUCCGUAACUGGUAUCAGAGGAUGACCAGUCACACGGGAACUGAGACACGGUCCAGACUCCUACGGUAGGCCGCAGUGGGGAAUCUUGCACGAGGGGCGAGUGCCUGAUCUUGCCAUGCCGCGUGUGGGAUGAUGGUCUUCUGAUGGGUAAGCACUUUAAGUUGUGGGGUAGUACAGUAAAUUAAUACUGGGCGGUAUUGACGUUACCGACAGAAUAAGCACCGGCUAACUCCGUG
rnacentral:rRNA from 1 species